GCCCUAGUGGCACAAUGGGUAAGUGCUUGGCUGCUAACCAAAAGGCUGGCGGUUCAAACCCACCCAGCAGCU
rfam:Loxodonta africana unplaced genomic scaffold scaffold_102, whole genome shotgun sequence.